ensembl:lncRNA
CGAAGCGCGGCCGGCCCGGCCGGUUCGGGGGAGGGGGGGGUGCUGGGCCGCGCUCCGCCGCGCUCCUCGGGCGCCCCUCCUUUAGGGCCGUCGUUUACGGGACCGUCAGAUGGUCGGUUUGCUCAGAAAACCGUCCGUUCUGGCCGCGAGCAGGUGAGGUCGUUUGUGGAUAAGAUCGGUAUUAGGUGAGGUCGUCCGUGCGUUUCCUCCCGUGGCGGUGCCGUGUCACCACCCGGCCGCGCUCCGGGCGGGCUGAAAGCACGGCGGUGGUUCGCCUCAGGGCGCGGUGGCCCCGCGGCCGUCCCACCACAGUACGGGGCUGCGGGCACACGCGGUCAGCGACGGCAGCGGCGCUCACUGCGUGUCAGAGCUCCCCAGGAGGUCGUUGUUUUUCCUUUCGGAGCCCUGAAAGAUACGGGGAGAGAAACCUGCGAGGAGAGUUUGCAGGAGUGCUGUGAGUGGUGCACGGAACGCCGCGCAGGAGAACGCUUUCCUCCUUCCCAAACGUGCCUUGGGAAAAGUAAUUUCUCAAGUAGUUGGUAAUUGCUGCCAGGUACUUAGUGAAAAUUUAUCUUCUCUUGGGGUUGCGAUUAAGAAAAGCCUUCUGAAAUUCCAGGGACGGAUGGUGAAUCUCUGGUGGAUUAAAAGAGCUGCCUGAGGCAGGGUCACGUUUCCAGGAGGGGAAGGAAAGGUGCUCUGGGUUUCGGUGUGGAUUCGGAGCUGGGGAGGUGAAGCAUCGCGAAAUUUGCUGUGCCUCAGCGGGGCACGGGGUGGAGAUAGCGGUUCAACUCCAGAUCCGUCAGAGCAGAGGGUUCCCACGCACGACGCAGCCUCUGUGAAGCGCAGAGCGCGGCGGCAGUUCCUAAGCUCCCGGGCUUUGUGAUGCUUUCAUAUCCCCGAGCGUGAGAUCCUCGCCUGUCAGCGUUUGUCAGCCGACUGCUGCCUCGCACUCGGCUGCACUGCAGUUUCUCGACCGUUUGAAAACUGUACUGCUCUUAAAUGCUUGGCGUUGUAGAUUCUUUCUCACUGAAUCUUACUAAACUAGAACGGGUUGCAGCGAGCUUGCAUUAAGAAUCCCCGCAGGGAUCCACGUGUAGGGAGGAGACUUGUUGCAGCCGGGGGCAUAGCCUGCGUCCGGGAAUGUUUACAGCAUUCCCUGUGGGUGUCUGGGGAUGCACUGAGGUGCUUAGAAAGCGUGAGAGGAACUGCAGGAGAAGGAGCCAUAGGUCUCUGCAGUAGAGUGCAAAGAUAAUCAGCAUUUGAGUGCGGUGGCUAAUCUAGAAUUGCUAAUAAAAUUGAUAGGGAAUCAUAAAAUAAUUUAGAUUGGAAGGAACCUCUGGACUUGAAAGCGGGACUGGCCUCCAUUGCAUUGGGUUGCUCAGGGACAACGUCUCAAGCCUUUCCCGGACUGUUUGCUCAGCAAACCUUGUAGUGACGUAGCUCUUCCCAAAUAACCUCACUAAUUCCUUGCUUUGUCAGCCCGAUACGAGGGAUUCCACCCCCGUUCCUGCACUCAGCAUGAGGAUCUUAAUCAAACCGCUGUGGCUGAUUGGAGUGGUCCAUAGUGUCUCUGUGACACCAGAAUUUAGGUUGUAUGGGUGAAGUUGGUUCUUUCUACUGAAUGUCUUCACAAACACAGGUCUAACCGGGCAGUGUUAGCUUUCUCUUAGCACUUAACACACCCAAAAAAUUAAAACCUCUUAUCUUCACUGCAGAAGUUUUUAUUUUCAGACUCGUUUGUUGCAAGUGAAGUUUUAUUUUAAUGUUUGGACUAAAUAUUUGAAAAAAUCGUCCUGACAUGCUGUGGCAAGAAUGUGUUUAUAGUAACAUUAAUUUGCUGUUUCUUCAUAAGCAGUUUUUCACUUCCCCUGUCAAACCCACGCACCACUGAGGUUUAUAGCUGGAAAUAAUCACCAAACGUGCAGUUCGUGGUCAUUUUUAACGUGCAUUUUCCCCGCUAUAGUCUCUUGAGAGUCAGUAGCAUUUACUACCAAAGACCAUGUAUUCAGACAUUGGAACUGGAACAGGUUGCCCAAGGAGGUUGUGGAUGCCCCAUCCCUGGAGGCAUUCAAGGCCAGGCUGGAUGUGGCUCAGGGCAGCCUGGUCUGGUGGUUGGCGACCCGGCACAUAGCAGGGGGGUUGAAACCAGAUGAUCUUUGUGGUCCUUUUCAACCCCGGCCAUUCUGUGAUUCUAUGAUUAACAAACAUCUCUUUCCUUUCCCAUGCUUUGACCAGAAAAUGCUGGAGAGAACUCUCCACUGCUUUACUGCCCCAGUCCUAUAGAUAAAAGACCUACAAAUCUCCCACGGUUCACUGACAAAAAUUGGUAAAGUGAUGUAGCUUCCUGUAAAUGAAGAGCUCUCAUGCCUCACAUGAGGGAGUGGAAUAAAUAAUGGAUGCUUCACGUUACGUGUGCCCACUGCAGUGUGGCAUCUUGCACCGCUUCUAGAAUAACGCACACCUAAACUGUGCUGUUACCAGUCCCUGGCAUUGCUUUGUUGAAAGGUAAUAAUUGAGCAGGAUACCAUGAAGAGAAGCAAAUAUUGCAUGAACUCCUGUUUAUCGCUCUGUGUGCUUAUAUAUACAUAUAUGAAGAGAAUGAUUUAUAAAACUGCUUAGAGGAUGGAUAUCAUUGCUGAUAAAUUCCGUAUGUAAUACUGUUCAAAUUCCAUACUACUAAAUUUAAUGCUAUUAAAAUGCCAUUGAAGCAUUU